GUGGGUAUAGGUCAGUGGUAGAGCACAUACUUAGCAUACAUGAAGGUCCUGGGUUCAAGUCCCAGUACCUCCA
rnacentral:tRNA from 1 species